GCGCGGCCGGCGACCGACCCCGGCCCGUCCCGGGCCCGCCGCCCGCCCGCGUCUCUGCCGCCGGGCCCGGGGCGGCGGCCGGAGCCCCGAGCGCCGCUCCCCUCCCCCGCGGGUGCCAGCUGCUGGCCCCACCCGGUGCCCCCCCACCCCUGUGCCAUGGCCGGCUGGGGUUCCUGGGGAUGGGAUUUGCUGCCUGUCACAAAUCACAUUGCCAGGGAUUUCCAACCGACCCUGAGCCCUGCCUCUGGGGCUGCCACCACCACCACCACCACCACUACCACUGCUGCCGCCACUGCUGAGGACACUGCCUGGGGAUGGGGAUGAGGCUGGGGUGGGGGUGGAUGGCAGAGAGGCCCCUGCUGUCUUCGUCUGGCCUGGGGAGCAGGGCUUAGCUGCUUGUGAGCAGAGUCCACACCAAGUCGUGUUCACAGUGGCUAAGUUCCGCCCCCCGGGACCCCGCCUCCUCUGGCUCUGCCGCUGCGCCUGUCUGGGCCUCCCUGGGCUCUGCCUCCCGUGCCUACUGAGCUGAAACACAGUUGAUUUGUGCAGACUGGCUCAGUUCAGCAGGAACAGGAGUCGAGCCCCCUCGGAGCUUGUGGCGCCGGCCUUCCUUGGGUGGGCCGCUGCCUGGGGGAACGAUGAGGACCCUGACCCAGACCUGUGUCUGGAGGCGGGACUUGCGGGGAGGGAUGUAGCUUGGGAUGAGGUAGGCGGGCCCAGCUGUCUGCUGCAGCCUUCCACCCCUGUGCAGUCCUACCUAUCCCUGGAUCUACCCUGGGCAGAAUAUACAGGUGGGUGGUUGGCCCUUCCAUGGGAAAGGAAAAUCAGCUGUAUCUGCCCCCGCCCAACCCCCCAUCCGCCAGAUAGACCUCCCCUCCCAGCCUGGAGCCUUGGCACUUUCUCCCCCAGGCCUGGUGGGGCAUGGGCCAGGCCUAUACCUUCCCGGCAGCCAGUUACCCAAGAGGAAGCUGCCUUGGCCCCCAGACCGUUAAAUGCCAACUCCAGCUUCCGGAACCAGGCUGGCCUGACCUGAGUGUGCCUGGCCCCUUCUCCCCGAGCCCAGCAGCUUCCUAACUUGGGGGUUGGAGCUGUGACGUGCUCCUGGCACGUAGGGCAGGGAGCAAGGUCCCUGUGGGCCCAGAAAAAACACAAAUCACAUCCUGGGGUGUUUAAGAGUUGAGGCUCUGUCCCAUGUCAGAUGGGAUGGGCUCUUUUUAGAGGGAGACUGGGGAAGCAGAAAGAAGCCCCCUAGGCUGUCAGGGGUGGCCCACCCAGGGUGGGGGCAGACACAAGCUUGGGGCAGGGUCUGUAUUGUGUGUGGCUCCUGUUGUCCAGUUAAAUAAAAGCUGCUCCCUGCCUCAUUCCUGAA